rnacentral:tmRNA from 1 species
GGGGCUGUUUAGGUUUCGAUAUCUAGAAAAAAACCAAAUGUGAUGCAAGUAGAGGACUUUAAACCUCUUUAAAAAAAGAAAAAAUUAAAAGAAAUGCUAACAAAAUUUUAUCUUUUAACCGAGUACAAUUAGCUGUUUAAUUAGCUAAAAACUCCUUAUUUUUAGAAUAAAUGCUAGAUAAGACCUAAAAAUAAAGUAAAAAAGUUUCUAGCUGCACACAAAAGAAGGAAGAAUUAAUCUAUUGUGUAAAGAUUUUCUUUUCCAACAACUAAAAGCCGCUUCGAUUUUGAAGCUAAACUUGUGAAUGAGCUUUUGGAUUUUUUUAGGUAGACGUGGGUUCGAAUCCCACCAGCUCCA